rnacentral:rRNA from 1 species
UACGGGAGGGCAGCAGUGGGGAAUAUUGCACAAUGGGCGAAAGCCUGAUGCAGCUAUGCCGCGUGUAUGAAGAAGGCCUUAGGGUUGUAAAGUACUUUCAUCGGGGAGGAAAAAACAAAACUAAUAAUUUUAUUUCUUGACGUUACCCGAAAAAGAAGCACCGGCUAACUCCGUGCCAGCAGCCGCGGUAAUACGGAGGGUGCUAGCGUUAAUCAGAAUUACUGGGCGUAAAGAGCACGUAGGUGGUUUUUUUAAGUCAGAUGUGAAAUCCCUGGGCUUAACCUAGGAACUGCAUUUUGAAACUGAAAUACUAGAGUAUCGUAGAGGGAGGUAGAAUUCUAGGUGUAGCGGUGAAAUGCGUAGAUAUCUGGAGGAAUACCUGUGGCGAAAGCGGCCUCCUAAACGAAUACUGACACUGAGGUGCGAAAGCGUGGGGAGCAAACAGGGAUUAGAUACCCGU